rnacentral:rRNA from 1 species
UACGUAGGUGGCAAGCGUUGUCCGGAUUUACUGGGCGUAAAGAGCUCGUAGGCGGCUUGUUGCGUCGGCUGUGAAAUCCCAUGGCUCAACUGUGGGCUUGCAGCCGAUACGGGCGGGCUAGAGUUCGGUAGGGGGUGAUGGAAUUCCAAGUGUAGAGGUGAAAUUCUUAGAUAUUUGGAGGAACACCGGUGGCGAAGGCGGUCACCUGGGCCGGUACUGACGCUGAGGUGCGAAAGCGUGGGGAGCAAACAGG